GUAUAUUUAAACAUGGAGAGAACAAGUGACGCGUAACAACUCUAUGAGUGAAGAUGUACAACUGCCUGGGACCAAACCAGAAGAAGGAAGCAGCACUUAAAUUAGUUAAUAUGUGCAACCUAUCCAGUCAGUUUCCUUUUGAGAGCUGAAGUACCUGAAGCUUUGGAGAUGGUAAAGGAAUUAUCGAGGGUCAUACUGGCUAAGAAGAGUGCUAAAAGUGGAGACCUUUAUCACAAAGGAGAGAUGUCAGAGCUGAAGAUACCAUUUUGGGGGGAGAAACACAAGAAUUAUUUGAUUAGGAUGACCAAUUUUCUUUCUAAGUCCACAGAAGAGAAAACAGUUACGUCCAUGGAAGAUAAAAGCAAUAUUUGGAAUAAAGUUUUGAAUCAAAGAAACAUUUUAAAAAGUUAAAGUGUUUACUAAUUUUAUAACUAAUGAAUUAAAAGAUAAUCUCACAUUUA